CCCUGCAGAGGGGAGGAGAGGAUUAAUACACACACACACACACCUCUAUGAUGUCAUCACCUGGGGACCAGGAGAAGUCCCUGCAGAGGGGGGAAGAAAUACACACACACACACAGGACAGGUGGUAUUCCUCUAACUAGUCUCUGUCUGACAGGUGGUAUUCCUCUAACUAGUCUCUGUCUGACAGGUGGUGUUCCUCUAACUAGUCUCUGUCUGACAGGUGGUGUUCCUCUAACUAGUCUCUGUCUG